UUUAUCGGAGAGUUUGAUCCUGGCUCAGGACGAACGCUGGCGGCGUGCCUAAUACAUGCAAGUCGAGCGGACAGAUGGGAGCUUGCUCCCUGAUGUUAGCGGCGGACGGGUGAGUAACACGUGGGUAACCUGCCUGUAAGACUGGGAUAACUC
rnacentral:rRNA from 2 species